rnacentral:rRNA from 1 species
UGUGAAGUUACUUAAACAACCAGGAGGUUGGCUUAGAAGCAGCCAUCCUUUAAAGAAAGCGUAAUAGCUCACUGGUCUAGUGAUUUUGCGCGGAAAAUAUAACGGGGCUAAAGUAAGUACCGAAGCUGUAGACUUAGUUUACUAAGUGGUAGGAGAGCGUUCUAUUUGCGUCGAAGGUAUACCGGUAAGGAGUGCUGGAGCGAAUAGAAGUGAGCAUGCAGGCAUGAGUAGCGAUAAUUAAUGUGAGAAUCAUUAACGCCGUAAACCCAAGGUUUCCUACGCGAUGCUCGUCAUCGUAGGGUUAGUCGGGUCCUAAGUCGAGUCCGAAAGGGGUAGACGAUGGCAAAUUGGUUAAUAUUCCAAUACCAACAUUAGUGUGCGAUGGAAGGACGCUUAGGGCUAAGGGGGCUAGCGGAUGGAAGUGCUAGUCUAAGGUCGUAGGAGGUUAUACAGGCAAAUCCGUAUAACAAUACUCCGAGAACUGAAAGGCUUUUUGAAGUCUUCGGAUGGAUAGAAGAACCCCUGAUGCCGUCGAGCCAAGAAAAGUUUCUAAGUUUAGCUAAUGUUGCCCGUACCGUAAACCGACACAGGUGGGUGGGAUGAGUAUUCUAAGGCGCGUGGAAGAACUCUCUUUAAGGAACUCUGCAAAAUAGCACCGUAUCUUCGGUAUAAGGUGUGGUUAGCUUUGUAUUAGGAUUUACUCCGAAAGCAAGGAAACUUACAACAAAGAGUCCCUCCCGACUGUUUACCAAAAACACAGCACUCUGCUAACUCGUAAGAGGAUGUAUAGGGUGUGACGCCUGCCCGGUGCUCGAAGGUUAAUUGAUGGGGUUAGCAUUAGCGAAGCUCUUGAUCGAAGCCCGAGUAAACGGCGGCCGUAACUAUAACGGUCCUAAGGUAGCGAAAUUCCUUGUCGGUUAAAUACCGACCUGCAUGAAUGGCGUAACGAGAUGGGAGCUGUCUCAAAGAGGGAUCCAGUGAAAUUGUAGUGGAGGUGAAAAUUCCUCCUACCCGCGGCAAGACGGAAAGACCCCGUGGACCUUUACUACAGCUUGACACUGCUACUUGGAUAAGAAUGUGCAGGAUAGGUGGGAGGCUUUGAGUAUAUGACGCCAGUUGUAUAUGAGCCAUUGUUGAGAUACCACUCUUUCUUAUUUGGGUAGCUAACCAGCUUGAGUUAUCCUCAAGUGGGACAAUGUCUGGUGGGUAGUUUGACUGGGGCGGUCGCCUCCCAAAUAAUAACGGAGGCUUACAAAGGUUGGCUCAGAACGGUUGGAAAUCGUUCGUAGAGUAUAAAGGUAUAAGCCAGCUUAACUGCAAGACAUACAAGUCAAGCAGAGACGAAAGUCGGUCUUAGUGAUCCGGUGGUUCUGUGUGGAAGGGCCAUCGCUCAAAGGAUAAAAGGUACCCCGGGGAUAACAGGCUGAUCUCCCCCAAGAGCUCACAUCGACGGGGAGGUUUGGCACCUCGAUGUCGGCUCAUCGCAUCCUGGGGCUGGAGCAGGUCCCAAGGGUAUGGCUGUUCGCCAUUUAAAGCGGUACGCGAGCUGGGUUCAGAACGUCGUGAGACAGUUCGGUCCCUAUCUGCCGUGGGCGUAAGAAGAUUGAAGAGAUUUGACCCUAGUACGAGAGGACCGGGUUGAACAAACCACUGGUGUAGCUGUUGUUCUGCCAAGAGCAUCGCAGCGUAGCUAAGUUUGGAAAGGAUAAACGCUGAAAGCAUCUAAGCGUGAAGCCAACUCUAAGAUGAAUCUUCUCUAAGCUCUCUAGAAGACUACUAGUUUGAUAGGCUGGGUGUGUAAUGGAUGAAAGUCCUUUAGCUGACCAGUACUAAUAGAGCGUUUGGCUUAUCUUUAAUAAAGCAU